AUGUCAAACUUUUUGUUUUUCCUGAAGCACAAGAUUCCUCCACUCGGAAACUUCACGGUCCCCAGGAAGCCAGGCGUGGAGGCGCGGGAAGGCCCGGCCGAGCCGCCAGCCUUUGCACCGAAGAAAGGCGGUCGAUGCUUGCGGGCCUGUCCCGCCUGGGCCGCCCCUUCCGCCUCCGCGGCCCCGGGCCCCCCGGACCCCGCAGCCCGGGCUCCGGACCCGGGCCGGCGGCCUCGGCAGGGCUUCGGGCGGCGGGCGGUGCCCCAACCCCUGACUGCCGCGGCCCCGGCUCCACCGACCAGCCGCCGCGUUCCCGCUUCCGCCGCCGCGGCUCCGCCCGAACGGCAGCCCCGAGCCGCCGAGGCCUGGGCUCCCCGCCGCCCGCGCCCUGCCUCCCGCCCGCCCGGCCGGCACUCACAUCCGUCCGCGUCCUCCGGCAGGUCCUCCUGCAGCAGCGACAGGUCUGCGCCGAGGGAGACAAGAAAGGCCGUGAGCCCGCCGCCCGCCGCCCCGCGCCCUCGCGUCCCCGCCCGCCGCCCGCCGCGGGGCCCGUACCCGCCAUCUUGCGGCGCCCCCUCCUCCGCCGUCGCCCGGGGACCCGGGGCUCCAGGGGCAGCGCGCGCGGCGGCCGGUGGACGCGCGCGGGGGCGGUGCCGCGGGGACGCGCGGGGCGGGCCGAGGGCGGCGGGCCGGGGCGGCUCCGGACGCCGGGCGGACCCGGCCCGCCCGCCCACCUGCGCGCCGCUCCGCCUCCCGCCUCGCUCGCUCCGCCCGCCGGCGCGCUCUCGGCUCGGCCGGCCCCUUGGUGAGCCGAGUCCGAGGCGCGGCUGCUACUGUCGCCAUAGCCGGGGCUCCGCGCCGUGUGCCGGGCUCGCCGGGCGGGGCCUCCCGCGCGCUUUGUUGGGUCACUGGCGCCGCCCGUCGGCCCGCGGGCCCCGGUCCCGGCACCUGCCCGCCCGUCUGCUCGGCCGCGCGCCGGGGCCACCUCCGGGCGUGAAGCGCCGCCUCCGCGCCGGCCGCCGGGUGCGGCGAACAAAGCCGCGGGGACGGCCCGCUCCCGCGCUGACCCCGGCCCGGCGGUGGGCGUGCCGCCCGGUUGCAGGAGGACCAACGAACCUCGCCCCCGGGAUCGUUGGGACUAAGGAAGAACGACAGGAACCGAGCACCGAGUACUGGGCAUCCCGCAGGUGCUGGGGAACGGCGCCUCGCCUUAGCUUUUGUCUGUAA
rnacentral:lncRNA from 1 species